ensembl:lncRNA
AUGCAUUUUCUAGCACAGUUUAAAUACACUGAAGAGCACCUUUUUUCAACCUGGGCAAUAUCUAGGCAUCUAACCCAUCUACUCAGGGUUUUAGUUUGGCAAUGUGGGCCAAUUUAUUUCAUUUUUAUCCCACAUUCCUCUUGCAGUCUGCAUUCUAAAUGUAUAUCUCUCUUUUCCUAUGACCUUUCAUCUGUCUGUGUUUCUGUCUUGUCCACCCCCUCCCCUUCAGCUCCCCCUGCUGUUACCCUGGUGAAUGUGAAAACCCGCAAUGAGACUCACAUAGAGCUAGAGUGGACCAAAGUCAACAACAUCAACACUUACGCACUGAAAUCGAGCGAUGAACCAGAAACCCCCAUCACUGGAUUAGACGGGAACACAGUGACACACACUGUGUCAUCUCUCUCUGCUGGAACAAAAUACUCGUUCACUCUCUUCACGGUGUUAGAGGAACUGAGAAGCACAGGAUUUGAGUUCCCAGCAGUUACAGCUCCCCCUGCUGUUACCCAGGUGGAUGUGAAAACCCGCAAUGAGACUCACAUAGAGCUAGAGUGGACCAAAGUCAACAACAUCUUACAUACUUACAUACUGAUAUUGGAUGGAAAAGAAACCCUCAUCCCUGGAUCAGAUGGGGACAAAGUGACACACACUGUGUCAUCUCUCUCUGCUGGAACAAAAUACUCGUUCACUCUCUUCACCGUGUUUGAGGAAGCUAAAAGCACAGGACAUGAUUUCUCAGCAGUGACAGCUCCCCCUGCUGUUACCGAGGUGAUUGUGAAAGAACGCUCUGAGACUCACAUAGAGCUAGAGUGGACCAAAGUCAACAACAUCAACACUUACAUACUGAGAUAUAGCAAUGAAACAGAGACCAACAUCACUGGAUUAGCUGGGAAUACAGUGACACACAGAGUGUCAUCUCUCUCUGCUGCAACAAAAUACUCGUUCACUCUCUUCACGGUGUUAGAGGAAUUGAGAAGCACAGGAUAUGAGUUCUCAGCAGUUACAGUUGUCUGCAGUCCGAACUCUUGUCCUCCAAACAGCAUAUGUGAGGAGCGUGCUGAUAACACAUUCACCUGUGUGUGUCCCGGUGGAUUCAUCUUUAAUGACAUUUUCUGUCAAAAAGGUACAAUUGUAGCGCUCUCUCACAGACAAACGCUCACACCCUAAAAGUAUAACUGAGGCGGCAACUGAGAUAGAAGAGUGUAUUCUCUCCAUAGAAACUUUUCUGAGAUAGAAGAGUGUAUUCUCUCCAUAGGGACUGUUCUGAGAUAGAAGAGUGUAUUCUCUCCAUAGGGACUGUUCUGAGAUAGAAGAGUGUAUUCUCUCCAUAGGGACUGUUCUGGGAUUGUUACUUGAAUCGUGUUCUUUGAAUUGUAGCGAAAGUCUUCCCUGGGGAGCUGACCUUGACAACACUACAUACAACAGAGAUGGACGAUAAAACCUCUGAGCUUUUUAAGACAACAUCGGAGGAGAUUGUCAGUGCGGUAAGUUACCACCAGGACACUGGCACGUGUUCCCUGUCAUAAUUACAAUGCAGUUGAGGUUAAUUUGUAAAGACUUUGACAAUCAAAUACUGUAAGCUGGAUGACAUAUGGUCACUACAGACCAACUGAAACUGAAAUAAAGAAUAUAAUUUCUUAAGUAUUUGAAUUCUA